rnacentral:rRNA from 1 species
UACGGAGGGGGCUAGCGUUGUUCGGAAUUACUGGGCGUAAAGCGCGCGUAGGCGGACCUGCAAGUCGGGGGUGAAAGCCCGAGGCUCAACCUCGGAACUGCCUUCGAUACUGCGGGUCUCGAGUCCGGGAGAGGUGAGUGGAAUUCCUAGUGUAGAGGUGAAAUUCGUAGAUAUUCGCAAGAACACCAGUGGCGAAGGCGGCUCACUGGUCCGGUACUGACGCUGAGGUGCGAAAGCGUGGGGAGCGAUCCGG